rnacentral:rRNA from 2 species
GAGGAYUUGAYGCYGUAGAGAUAUGSCUUUCCUUCGGGACAGAGGAGACAGGUGGUGCAUGGUUGUCGUCAGCUCGUGUCGUGAGAUGUUGGGUUAAGUCCCGCAACGAGCGCAACCCUUAUGCUUAGUUGCCAGCAGGUCAAGCUGGGCACUCUAAGCAGACUGCCGGUGACAAACCGGAGGAAGGUGGGGAUGACGUCAAAUCAUCAUGCCCCUUAUGACCUGGGCUACACACGUACUACAAUGGCCGGUACAACGGGAAGCGAAGCCGCGAGGUGAAGCCAAUCCUAGAAAAGCCGGUCUCAGUUCGGAUUGCAGGCUGCAACUCGCCUGCAUGAAGUCGGAAUUGCUAGUAAUCGCGGAUCAGCAUGCCGCGGUGAAUACGUUCCCGGGUCUUGUACACACCGAA